AUACAAACAAUUACAGAAUAAUAAAAAUAAUUUUUCCAAAAUUCAGAAAUGAUCCCAAUAAGGCAAGGAAGACGAAAUUUGACGUACCACACAAGUUAUAAAAGACACGUAUGCAUGUUUAUUUACAGUUGCUCCUCUCCUGGCUGAAAGGCUCCUACGGUGUUGAGGCUAAUUUCAGCAGCAUUUCUGCCACUCCCAGAGACUCCUUCACCUCUCCUCCGGCCUCCAGAUCCUCGUGACGAUAUGGAACUGGAAGAGCUCGGCUCUCUCUCGCCCCGGGUACUGUGGACGCCUGGAAACGAGGGCCGACUAUAGGGCACAAUGUCCCCUGGAGUAGGACACACACCAAAAGACACAUUUAAAUAACCUGGACUGGUCACAUUCGAUAUGAAACAUAGGAAGAUGCAGCUCUA